UUUGGGAGGGUUUCCGCCCUUCAGUGCUGCAGCUAACGCAUUAAGUAAUCCGCCUGGGGAGUACGACCGCAAGGUUGAAACUCAAAAGAAUUGACGGGGGCCCGCACAAGCGGUGGAGCAUGUGGUUUAAUUCGAAGCUACGCGAAGAACCUUACCAGGUCUUGACAUCUUCUGACAGUCUAAGAGAUUAGAGGUUCCCUUCGGGGACAGAAUGACAGGUGGUGCAUGGUUGUCGUCAGCUCGUGUCGUGAGAUGUUGGGUUAAGUCCCGCAACGAGCGCAACCCUUAUUACUAGUUGCCAGCAUUAAGUUGGGCACUCUAGUGAGACUGCCGGUGACAAACCGGAGGAAGGUGGGGACGACGUCAAAUCAUCAUGCCCCUUAUGACCUGGGCUACACACGUGCUACAAUGGAUGGUACAACGAGUCGCGAGACCGCGAGGUUAAGCUAAUCUCUUAAAACCAUUCUCAGUUCGGACUGUAGGCUGCAACUCGCCUACACGAAGUCGGAAUCGCUAGUAAUCGCGGAUCAGCAUGCCGCGGUGAAUACGUUCCCGGGCCUUGUACACACCGCCCGUCACACCAUGAGAGUUUGUAACACCCAAAGCCGGUGGGGUAACCUUUUAGGAGCUAGCCGUCUAAGGUGGGACAGAUGAUUAGGGUGAAGUCGUAACAAGGUAACCGUAA
rnacentral:rRNA from 1 species